rnacentral:snRNA from 1 species
GUGCUCACUUCGGCAGCACAUACACUAAAAUUGGAACAAUACAGAGAAGAUUAGCAUGGCCCCAGCACAAGGAUGACACACAAAUUCGUGAAGCAUUCCAUAUUUUU